AAAGAUUUUAAGGCAAAGACACCCAGAAAUGUUUUUCCACCCCAGGCAUCCGGUCCCAAUCAUCAGUUCUGAUGAUGUCACAUGCAUGGCGAGUCCACGUCUUAAAAUUGAAAGUUUCCGUAAGGUGCAGUGAACGGGAAUGUUCUGUCGUUGAU